rnacentral:lncRNA from 1 species
UAGCGGCUAGAUGCUUGGCCUGUAAGAAUUUUUCUAAUUAUGAACUGCUAUUAAUUAAUUAAUUAUUUUAUUUUAUUUUAUUAAAAAUAGAUUGAUUAUGUGAUUCAAAUUGAUGGUCGUAUACGUAAGCCUAAUGUUGUUAGUGAUCCUUAUGUUUUGGACUAUGCGGGCUUUAUAUUGGAUGGUUUGGUUGGGGUGGAAUAGUGCAGGUCUGAAUCCGACUUGAGUCCGUGAUGGGAGAGCG